GACGAACGCUGGCGGCGUGCUUAACACAUGCAAGUCGAGCGGUAAGGCCCUUUCGGGGGUACACGAGCGGCGAACGGGUGAGUAACACGUGGGUGACCUGCCCUCAGCUCUGGGAUAAGCCUGGGAAACUGGGUCUAAUACUGGAUAUGACUCCACGGUGCAUGUCGUGGGGUGGAAAGCCUUGUGCGGCUGAGGAUGGGCCCGCGGCCUAUCAGCUUGUUGGUGGGGUGANGGCCUACCAAGGCGACGACGGGUAGCCGGCCUGAGAGGGCGACCGGCCACACUGGGACUGAGACACGGUCCAGACUCCUACGGGAGGCAGCAGUAAGGAAUAUUGCUCAAUGGCCGAAAGGCUGAAGCAGCAACGCCGCGUGAGGGAUGAAGGGCUUUUGCUCGUAAACCUCUAGUAAAAUGGGAAAAAUAUCCUACUAUGUAGGAUUGAUUGUACCAUUAGAGUAAGCCCGGCUAACUACGUGCCAGCCGCCGCGGUAAC
rnacentral:rRNA from 1 species